AAUAAUCAAUGCCCUUUAUAGGGACAACCUGCUGAUAAGGAAGUCAAGGAUGCUCCUCCUGGAAAUCGUUUAAAUGCUGUGAUCGAAAAGAUUGAACGCCUAUAUGUGGGCAAACAAAGUGAUGACGAGGAAGAUCUUAAUGAUUUCCCAGAUGAUGAUGAAUAUGACACUGAAGAUUCUUUCAUAGAUGAUACUGAGCUGGAUGAGUAUUUUCAGGUUGAUAACUCAGCAAUAAAGCAUGACGGGUUCUUUGUCAAUCGCGGAAAGUUGGAGCGCAUGUGA